UUAACCAAGACUCGGGACUUAUAUUCGGC
rnacentral:sRNA from 1 species